AUGUACAUCCCUACAACAUAGUGUUAUUGCACCAAAUCCCAUUAGAAAUCUGUAGUUAAGAGCACUUGGGCUAGUGUAGUACUGGGAUGGGUGACCACCUAGGAAGUCCUACUAUUUUACAUG
rnacentral:rRNA from 1 species